GGGUUUGUCCAUGUUUGACCCAACCAUAAGUUGAAACAACCCACCAUUUUUUAGAGUGUUGUGUAACAGUGCACAUGCCAACAGACGCGUGUGUGUGUGUGUGUGUGUGUGUGUGUGUGUGUGUGUGUGUGUGUGUGUGUGUGUGUGUGAAAAAUCCAUUUCCAUGCUCAGACACGGGGCUACGUUCAAUAACCCACAAGGCAAGAGAGAGGCGCUUGUCUACACGCUUUGCUGUUGUAUAUGACCCAUUCUGGAUUUAGUCUUGUCACAUUGUUUAUAAUGUGUCACUGACACCAUGAAGGUGUUUAAUGUUUCAGGUCAUUUGUCGCUUAACACUGUAUAAGCAGGAAGAGGAGAGAUUUGUGGUUAGAGCUGUACUCGGUUCCUGUCUGAAAGGGCUGGCCAAACCUUUCUGAAUGAAAUCCAGCCAGUUUCACCAAGAGAAAUCAAUCUCAGUGGUGGAAGACUUUUUUCUUUUAGGACAUUUGUUAAUCAGUUUCGGCUGUCCUGAGCCAAACAUGCAUGUGAGGAAGUAAACACAAGUGUGUGGUUGGUGUUGAUGUUUCUUCUUGAAGUGCACUGCAGUCUAAUUUAUCUGAAGUUUCUGUUUUUGAUAAGGUAGGCUUCCAAAAGUAAGAAUCUCACUGAUUUUUUUCAUAGGGGUGUUGAUUUUUAACAACUUAUAAAUCUUUGAAGAUCAACCUGCCGUGAGCUAUGAGGUUGUUAUUGGAAUAUGCUUUUGUUAAAGCCAUCGGCCUGCAUAUUUUCAACAUAUUGUUUUAUAAUAAAAUAAUUGUUAAACAGCAGAAUUCCUGGUGAAAACCUACAUUACCCAUGAUACCGCAAAGAAAUCUCCAUCAGUCAGAGAAUCGUGACCACUUGUGUGUAAAUAUGUAUAUCUUUAAUUUCAAUUGUCAUUCAAAAGAAGUUGUAGUUCUUUUCCUCAUUAAAGCUAUUAAGCUAUUAAAGUAUACACAGUCUUGUACCUUUUAAUUUUUUUCAGAUUUUCAAAUAAUUUUUGCUUCAAAUCAGAGUUUGUAGUAUUGUUAUUGGCCUCGUAGCUGGUUGGUUUAGUUCAUAGCUUAUAACUCUUUAACAAAGUCAUUUUAAAAUCUCUAAGGGAAAAAUGAAUGGAAAAAGUAGCAAACAAAGGCCACUAAAAAAGUGGGCGGACACUGUUGCACUCUAUAGAACCAGAUCCAUAAUCCUGAAAAAUGCAUAAAUAUAAUGUCAAAGAAAAGCAGUUAAAACAAUUGCAAUAUGCUCCUCAUUAAACAUUUUCAUAUAUAAAGAAUCUUUGUGUUUAUUCAAAAAUAUAAGUUUUUUUACGUGACAUCACACCUGUAUAGGAACACCCACCUGGUGGGCAAAACAAGGCUUUCCUCUGAUGCCCGCCAGUCGUUUUUUUACCAGGUUUAUAAUAAGUGCUAAAUAACGUAGUAAGACGGUGAUAGUAAAAAAGACCAAAUUCGUUAUGCACCUUAUUGAUGAUGCAUACUAGGCAAGCAGAUGAACCCAGAAUAUAAAAACACACAGUUUCUCGUUAAGCAAUUUUUCCAUCAAAAAUCAUUAUAAAGAAAAAGCGUUGCGUUCAUUUUCUGGUCUCAUCUGCUCGCCUGUAUAUAGUAGGCAUCAAAACUGAAUUUUAUCUUUUAAUAUCAAUGUUUUAGUAUAGUGUUUUUCAUGUUAAGCGUUUUAGAAUGUUCCGCUGUUUUUAGUAAUUGAAACACUGCAGCAUGUGCUGUAUGUAUAUCACAAGUGCCCAAAACUUGUAUCUUAAUCACUUAUUUUUGUUUUUGAGAUGGAAAAUUGAUAGGGUUGUGCUGCAGCGCUAUGGCAGUUUUGUUCACCAGGCCUCUGCGGCAGUCACGUGACUGAAAAGUGAAAACUAUAAAAAGCCAAUAGUUUUAAAUUGCACCAUUUACAUUUUUUUACAUUUUUUUUUUUUUUUUAUCUUAGUAAAUCUAAUGUCUGGAAUUGCAAAUUUUCUUUUGUCUCCUGUUAAUGUUCACAGUUCAUGUAAACAUCAUUUUGUCCCUUUGAGGCACUCCAGAGCCACUUACUCUAUUCCAUACACUCUAUUAUAUCUUGUUAGGAAAAUAAUCCUCACAAAACAGGCUACUUCGGACAAGAAAGUCAUUGAUUAUCUUUGCAUGGAUUGAUUGCAUAAAUCAGUAUAGUCAGGUUGUAGGCUUGCAGCUGGUCUCACUGAGACUAAUUUCCUAAUGGACGUUUCCAUCUUAAGUCCCAUUCCAACUAAUUAAACUUCACAGAGUUUUUCUUAGCAUUAUUUGUUUUCCAACCCCUCACAUUCCUCCUCCUUCCUCAGUUAAGGGCAAAAGAUGCAAGUGGUUGGUGACGUAAUGCAUUCUCAAAGGGAGGAAAAACAUCUUGGAGGUUAAUGCACCAUGGUGAAAUGUUAAGAGUCAAAGCCUUAUAAAGAAAAAAAAACUCCAAGCUGAAAGCUUUAUCAUCUUCAGAGCGUUUGCAGUUAUAAAAAGGAAGUAUAGCUAAGCUAGUCUUUCUGUAAACAAAGGCUGUUAAUAAAUGUACCGUGGGAUAAAAGACAGGCCACAUUUAAAUUCUGUCAUUUUUAUUCAAAUUAGGAAAUACACAGAACGUUUUAGAAUAUUUAAUCAUUUAAAAUAAAAGUAUUGACGUAAAAUGAAAAAAUACUCAAUGUUAUGUUUGGUGCCUGUUUUACAUAGCUCAACACACACACAUUGAAGUAUAGUGAAACGAUUUGACUUCUAAUCCCUGAGAACUGAUUAUGAACAAAAUUUCAAUUUCAUAAUGUGCUUUAAACUUCUUCCUUGAAAAAAAUAUGUUUGGGGAUAUAUAUAAAUAUAUAUAUUUCUUGGUCUCUAAUCAAAUAAGUAAGAAUGGCUAUGUAAACCCAUUUUACAGCAGGUAAGAUUACUUAAUCUUCUGCUUCAGUGAAAAUAAAGAUAUUUUCACAAGUGGUCUUUUGAAUCCACUGUACUUAGAAACCCGUAAGAACCUUUGGUAUCAGAUGUAGUGUAAACAGUGCUGUAGGACUACAUGUAAAGAAUGAGAACACCCCACUGGUCUCCAUCAAACAUAGAGCACAGCUCCAGCUGUCAGACACUGGGAAUCUAUUGUUCUCCCUUUGCUGAUACAUCCUGCCAUGUGUGCGCGCAUGGCUUUUGUCAUUUACCUCCCUGGCUACGUGCUAAAGGAUGUGCUGAACCUGCUCUGGUGGACAUAAGUACAACCAGAUGUGACAGGCCAGUUAAAUUAGACACCUUGGCUGGCUCUCUUCCUUCAGGGCAUGUAAAGGUAAAGCAAAUGAAUCUUGAGUGUGUAGAGAUAAUCCAAUGUCUGUCUUCUCAGUAUGGCCAAGGAACGAUGAUCUACUGCAAGUUAUUCCUGCAGUACAGAGAGGUCAUUCAGAGGACAGUGCCGGGGAUAGUACUUUAAUUGAUAAACAUGUAUUUAUAACAUUUAGCUUGACUAGAGGAAGUGUAAUAGUAAUAUCCAUGAGCUAGUCAUAGUAAGUAACUUUCCUGUUAAGUACUGGCAAAUGGAAGAGUAGAUUUGAAAUUUUAUUUGCUUGUGAUGUUCAAUGCCCUUUUGUGAUUUCUGGGUCACUGCUAAUGGACUAGCUUUCAUAAAUCGCCAUGCAAGCAUCAGAGGAUACAAAAAUAAAUGUACAUAUUAUGAUAUCGAGACUUGUCCUCUUUAUCUAUUUUGAGCCAAUGACCUGCUGUAUCCUCUGUAGAGUGGUUCAUCUGACCCAGCUGAAAAUUUUUAUGUUUGCAGUGGGCUCUUUGCCAUCCUUUCUAAUAAAAGGAUGCUUUUUAACAAACAAAAUGGAGUUGCUUGCCACAGAAAUGUAUCUAUUAGCCUGUGCUACAAUACUAGCACAUUGAUAUUUAGCUGCUAAAGUGUUGCUAGGUGGUUGCUUACUGGCCUAACUCAAAAAAAAGUCUGUCUCUCUAUGAUAUGUACAUUCUCCAUAAAUAUAGUUCAGGUCCCUUCUUUUAAAGUUAGUCUUGGGAGUUUUAGAGAUAAGUAAGCUUUAUGUUUUUGAAAUAAGUUUAAAAAAUUGCAUUAAUUUGAUCAAAACUGCAGUAAAACAGUGAUACAUUUUUAAAUGUAAUUUAUUCCUGUGAUGACAAAGCUGCAUUUUGAGCAUCAUUACUCCAGUCUUCAGUCACAUGAUCCUUCAGAAAUUAUUCUAAUAUGCUGAUUUGGUGCUCAAGAAACAGUUCUUAUUAUCAGUAUUGAAAACAGUUGUGCCGCUCAAUAUUUUUUGUGGAAACCAUGAUGAGAGUUCCAAAGAAGAGUAUUUGAAAUAAAAAAUAAAAAAUCUUUUAUGACAUUAUAAAUGUAUUUACUGUCAUUUUUUUAUCAAUUUCAUGCAUUCUUGAUGAAUAAAGGUAUUCUUAUAUACAUAUAUAUACAAAUAUAUACAUACAUAUAUAUAUAUAUAUAUAUUUUUUUUUUUUUUUUUUUUUUUAUGGUAUUUUUUGCCCACCAAGCAAACAUUUUCAGAUCACUCAUGUCCGAACAUUAUUUAUGUAUGACAAACGGUUCGGAAUGAAUUACGCUAAAGUUCUACAGAAUAAACCUCUUGCCUUAGCAAGGUCCACUAAUUGAAAACACCAGUACAUAUUUUUCAUGGAAAUGGACUGUAAAAUUAGUCUCAGAAUUUCCAGUUUUUGCAAUUGUUUCAAGAUGUUACCUGUAUUGUUUAUUCUUAAAAGUUCAGAAUCAGUCCGUCACAGUUUGUUAACCCAAGCAAGAGCCCCCCCAAAAAUACACAUUAAUGUAAACAGUCUUGCAGAUUGUAUUCAUCUUUGUAUAUUUGAGCUGUGUACGAGUCUCAACGAGUCAUCUAUCACUAGAGCUAAACACGUUGUUCUGUUCUGUUCUGUUUGGGGUCAAAGUCUGUGGCAGAAAACAGCUUCAAAACAAAAACCUAUCUCAAAAUUUCUAACGUAUAUAGAGAGAGGUAUGGAGUUAAAAAUGAGGCAUGUACAAAAAAACUAAAUACUCCAAAAAACAAUGUAUGAUACAAAUCUCUUUCUUCUCUGCAACACCUUUCUUCACUCAUCAUUUUGUUUUUCUAAUGUUUUCAGAUGACCAGAUUUAAUAUUUUUAAAUGCACUUUUGUAUUUUUUUUUUUUUUUUGAGCAUAAAUAAUAAAGCUAUUGAAAAAAAAAGUAAAUUGAACCAAAAAAAAGUUAAAGUUUCUUUCUGUUUUGUUUACAACAUGUUAUUUUUGCAAUUAAAAACAGCUUUCCUUUUGCAAUACCCAUAUUUGCACCCAGUCAUUAUUCAAAUAUCAUAAAAUAAAGAAAUCUAGCAAGAAGGGAAAUAACAGUGCUACGCUCCACUUGUAUGACACUCUCUAUUUGGAGAAAAAGAGCUCAUCAGCCGGGCCAUUAGCGCUCAAGGCUGCCAAGCCACGAGGCACUAGUUGGCUGCUGUUUUUAAAAGCCCCCGUUUCUCCAGAUGUAAACAGAGAAUCUUCCCCAAACAUUGCCUUUUUAAGACUUCUCAGCAAGAGCUAGGGGGCGACCUCUUCUGCCACUCGCUGAAGCUAAUGAAGGGCUCCGCGAACAAUGGCUCACAUCGACACCGUGUUGUCACGCUUCUCCACUUCAGUCCCCCCACUCUUGUCUAAAUUUAGUCUUUCCAGAGCAUGGGUCUGGAGGAGACAGCCGCUCCAAACAUUAGUCUCUGCAGGCUCCUUUAUGAACGAGGGCGAAAAGGGGAUCUAACCCUGAUGGACGUUUCACAGACAGAUCUCACCACCCCCUUGCUCUCUCUUUAGCCAUAUCCAAUCUGCCUCUUUGACCUUCAUGGCUCGAUGUGUCCAGGAGGAAAAUUCAUCUGGCAGAGAGCACGACACAAGGUCAAGGCUUUGUCUUGCUUUCCUUUAUAAUCACUCUUAUCUCUCCUCUCAGGCAGAUGUCUUGGUCCAUUUAUGCCGAGACGUGGUGUGAAUGAAUGUCUGGUUUGUGAAGGUCUGCUACUUAAAUAUAUACAUUCUCACAAUUAGAAAAAGGUCAGCAUAUGUAAGACAACAUGUUGAGUAUUACAUUACAAUUAAAUAAAUACAAAAACACACUUGAAAAAUAUCAAAUCUGACCAUCUGAAGACCUCCGCAGAAAAAAAAAAACACUGUUCUAAACGCUAAUAGAUUAAUCAUUAACACACAGAUUACAGUUUAUCCAUGUGGGUGUGUGAUUUCAUUAGGGAACUGUUUGUGUUGCCAGUGGUCAGUGUAAUGAUGAUCUCCAGAGCCAUAUUAUAUUAUUAGAUAACAGAUUUCUCAAGGCCUGUUACACACAAUGUCCAUCAUCAUGAAGAUGACCAUUUCACUCCCAUUAAUCUUUGUGUCAUGAAAGCAAAAACACUCUGUGGGCUUUAUUUAAAUAUUUUUUCAAAUGUAUAGGAGAGCCCAAGGCUAGUCGUCACACGAGAAAGUUGUCACAAAUGUUACAUCUCAGUAGUUUGUAUAUGUGUUGCUCUAGUAGUGGUUUGGUUUCAAACCAUUAUAUGUGAUUUAAAAAAAAAGUGAAAAUAAUAAAACCCCAAUGGUAUAUUACAUGUUCAGUUAUUGGUGCAUUAAAAGUUAAAUGAACUUUUUUUCCUAAGCAAAAACCGUGGAAAUGUCCAAUAGUGUUUUUGUAGCCAAGACAUUGGGAUAUGUGCUAAUAAUUCACUUUGUAUGGGAAUAAUCCGUGGAGUAACAGGUGUGACAACUUGCCCUGGUCUCUUGUACAUUGUGAUAUAAUGUUUAGAUUUUAUAUAUAUAUAUAUAUAUAUAUAUAUAUAUAUUCUGAUUUAUCCAAAUCUUUUGUGACAUUUUAUUUGGUUAGACCGAAUAAAACAGCCACCAACAUGGAACGUCUUCAUGUGGAGACCCAGUUUUUUUAACCCAACUGUAAAUCUGCUUCUUUCAAGAAAAUAAACAAACCUCUUUCUCCCUUUUUUCUCGCCCCCCUCUCUAACUCUUUUCUCCCUGUGACUUGUAUAUGAUUCCCAGCAUUCUGUAAGCAAAUGCUUUCCCAUAUGGGGAAGCGCAGUGCUUUUGAGAGGAAGUUAAUUAUUUUAAAUAACUGUGUCUGUGCAGAGCCCGUGUGUUCCCAGGCAGGAAUGGCAAGGAGCCCUCUGUUGUUAAUGGUUUCCACAUGGACUCUCAGAGAGGCCGGCCAAGACUCUAGCACGGGCAGAAAUCUCCAAAUUUAGAAGAAAUAUGAAAAUUGUCAAACGUGCCUUCCUUAGGCUGAGACGGCGGGCCCGGCCCCCUAGCCUGAGCCCUCCCUCCCCAUCCAUUCUCAUCCUCGCACAUCGCGGGUCACAGCUCGGGGUCACGGGGGCUCUUACACCAGCCAAUCAAGCAGCUCGAGAGGCUUUCCCUGAUGUGCCGCUCUGAUGGUGGACCAGCCCCUUGCCUCAUAUAAGGUAAUAGAAAAGUCUUUGCUCCCCAAACCGGCCAUGCUUCAAAAAGGAGCCUCGCGCCGGGAACACACUUCAGAUGGUGGAGCGCACGGCAUCCAUAGGAACAGAGCAGGGACCCCCUCUCUGCAUCUCUAUCCAUCCCGACACCAAAUACCCAGCAACCUCCCACCCAACCAAAGUGGCCAGGACCAGUGCAAACGAUCCUCCUUCUUCAAGACACAGACUGCGAGUCUGCAGGGGAGAAACUCUACAUAGGCUCAACAUGGACAGUUGACACACAACAAGCUUCAGCUGUGUGUCAGACCGGCUGGCUGAGUGACAGACUGAGGAAUUCAUCCAAACCUCUGGUUCUUUAUAUGAGACUGAGUCAUGAAUAUGAGACUCCCAUGUAAUCAACAGGACGUAGGAGGACACUGAUCAAAGACGGUAAGACGUCAAGCACAAAAGGAGUCCUGCAUGAUUCAUUCCCGCUACAGUCCUCAGGCCCAAGGUGCAGUGCUGCAUCUCUGGUCAACUGGGAGUCUGAGAUGAAGCACUGUAGCUCGGGAGGAAGGGCACUGCCUGCUAAUACAAUAAACAUAAGGUACCUUGAUUUUACAUUACAGAUCUCUAUUGAAUAAAAUGUUCAUUUAUUAUUAGUAGUUGCCUAACCAUUAUUGUUUCUGUUGUUGCAAGUCUUCCAUCAUUUCCCCAUCCCCGGGGUCCAGUUUUCCCAGGAAUCCCUUGGGCAAUCACAAGGGGGAUUCCUGGAAAUACUGUUCUUGGGGGUGGGGCUAGACAACUAAAUAUAUCAAAUGAUAAUGAUAGCUGUACCUCUUUAAUAUUAUCAUGUAUUACUAUAAUCACAGUUGUAUUAUUGCUAAUUUAGCAUGUACUGCCACAUUUAGUAAAUAUAUAAAUAUAUUCAUUAUCAUUCAAAAGUUUGGGGCCGUUGAGAUUUUGUGUGUGUGUGUGUGUGUGUGUUUGAAAAAGUUUCUUAUGCUAGCAAGGCAGUAUUUAUUUGACCAAAAAUACAGUAAAAACAGUAAUAUUGUGAAAUAUUAUUACAAUUAAAAAAAAAAAAAAAAAAAAAACUGUUUUAUAUUGGAAUAUAUUCUAAAAUGUAAUUUAUUCCUGUGGUGGCAAAGCUGAAUUUUCAGCAGCUCAUUUUUUUUAAGUAUAGAAAGUUCAAAAGAACAGCAUUUAUUUGAAAUAAAAAAUCUUUUGUGAUUAUUUUAAUGCAUUCUUGCUAAUGAAAAGAUUUUUUUUUUAAAUUACUGACCGCAAAAGAAUAAAUUUCUUUAAAAAUAUAUUACUGACCACAAACUUUUGAAUGUGUGUAUAUUGCAAAUGUAAGACAUUUUUUAAAGAUAAAGAUAUAUUACAUAUCCUUUAUAUAUAUAUAUAUAUAUAUAUAUAUAUAUAUAUAUAUAUAUUAUGAUAUAUUAUCCUUUACAAUAUGAUUUAAUAAAACUAUUGUUUAUUCAUCUGUGUUGAUACUGAAUCCUUUUUAAUAAAUUUCUGUUUAAACAAUUGUGUUUAUACUGCUUUGUAGUCCUUAUACACUUAAAUUUAACAUGUGAUAUGAAGAAACAGCGCCACCUAUUAGUUGAAAUGUACAGAACAUCAAACUAUAAUGUCCACAAGGGGGCGCAGCUAAGUUCACAUUGUGAGACGGUUCAAAUGAAAACCGCAGCCCACACGUGGUGGCUCGGAUUACAUGCAUUUUACAAAGUGUGACUGGAGCAAUUUACAUAUUUUCUGUGGGAUACAGUUAUAAUAACAGUCUUUUAUAUAUUAUAAAUAUACGGUACCCCUCUAUCUAAGUUUAAAUGUAAAUGUGAAAAUAGGAGACCAUUAAUAUUAUCUAUUUUUUAGAUUUGAUUAUAAUACUAUCUGCACACACAGAUUUCAGUGAGAACCUGUAUACGGAUGCUCCAACACCGAUGUAUGUGCAGUGAGUCAUUGAGGAUUAAGUGGGCGGAAGAUGCUCAUACAUUUAUGUGAGAUUUCUUAUACUGUUCACUGUUCAUCAAUGCUAGCAAUGAAAGUGUGACACUGUGUGGAAGGAAAAGAUCCACACGUUUGGCCCUCUGACAAAGACCUAAGGCAAUUAUCUUUCUUUCUUUCUUUCUUUUUUUAAAAUAUAAUAGUAAACAACAAACUGUAAAGUAAAAGAGAUUGUCAUUCAAAACAACUCACUCCUACUAUCAAGGUCUCCACAGAGACAUCAGAUGUAAAAAUGUUGAUGGUUUGCUUACAAUUGAAGAGGGGGAAGGGAAAGGCAUGAGGAUCUGCGGUGGGUUGCACCAUGUCACGUUCAGCUCAACAGCUGCCUGGUGGAAUCCAGCUCUGUUGAUUCUGAGCCUCUGAAUCCACAUUGGCAGAGACGCUGAUACAAAGACAGCUUCAGAAGACAAGAUGGUAAAAAGCGACAUCAUAACCAUGUGGCUUCCAGGCAGCACACUUGUCUUCGGGUGUGUGUGUUAAGAAUUUAAAAAUGUUAUACAUAAUUACAGUACAGCAUGGUUUUCUUGUUUAUGUUUGUGAUUUUUUGUUGAAUAUGUUUUGUGACAAAAGAACAACUGUAAAAAACUUUUAAACUUGCUGCUCAAGUCUCUUAAAGCAGCAUGAUCAUGACAAGUUUGAGAAGGAGAAAAGUAAUCUGUUUUUUUCCACAGACUAGUCACUGCCUGUUUGUGCUGUGGUUAAAGGAAAUUUUAAACGGUAAGAGUAACUUGCAAGAUUUUUCACACCUUUGUUCACUGAUAGCAGUUUAGCAAAAAAAAGUCUGAGUCAUGAAGUCUCAAAUGGCUAGUACACGUGUCUAGAGCAUUAGAGGGAUAAUAAAAUGCUGUUUCAGAAAUGACUAUUGUGAUCAGCAAGUAUAGAGUAAACCUGAUGUUUAGGACAGGAUUUAGACUAGAAUUUAAUCAACAUUUAAUCAGGUUAAUGAGUUUAGUUACUUCUAAAUGACCUGUUUUUGUAUAAAACACAUAGAAUUGUGAUUAAAUAAAGUUGGCUGAUAAUGCUAGUACAAACUCUGACCUACAUGUUACACAAAUCUCUCUGUUCUGGCUCAGACAUGCACUUAUGACGCAGUGGAACAGAUCUACAGAAUGCAGAGACUUGUAUGGUUGGUAAUUGUGUGCAAAUGUGACACACACUAAGUGAUUCAUCUGAUCAUGGCACACCUGGCAUGCCAAGGUGUGUUCUUCCUCUUCCCUUCAUUUUUAUCGUGCAAAUGCCAACAUUCCCAAGGCCAAACGUCUUUAGCCAUCUGCUAAACCAGGACCACACACUGCCAUUCCAUUUGGAGUGAGAAUUCCCGUGAUCUGCCAUACUGUCCACCGUGUGUUUGGUAAGACGACCAGGGCGUUUCUUGUGUGUAUCUAGUGACGGAAUAACUGCCAAUAGUUUAAGUGGCAAUUCAAUUCAAAUAUUUGUUCACACGUAGAAACUUGAAAAAACGUGUCCAGUUUUCUUAACUUUCAUAAUGUUCCUGCAACAUUCUUUCACCUUAAAGGGAUAGUUCACCCAAAAAUGAAAAUUUGUCAUUUACUCCAAACCUGUAUAAAUUUCUGUUCUACUGAACAUAAAGGAAGAUAUUUGGAAGAAUGUUUGUAACCAAGCAGAUCUCACCCCCCAUUGACUACCAUAGUAUUUUUUUUUUUUCCUACUAUGGUAGUCAAUGAGGGGGCGAGAUCUGUUUGGUUACAAACAUUCUUCCAAACAUCUUUCUUUGUGUAGCCUACAGCAGAACAAUGAAAUUUAUACAGGUUUGGAACAACUUGAGAGUGAGAAAACGAUGGCAGAAUUUUUGGGUGAACUAUCCCUUUAAUUUUAACAAAUCAACAUUCCAAUAAUAUUUCUACUUUCCAUAUUGCUAAUAGACUGUUGCAAGAAACGUUAUGCUAACCUUAACAACUCAACAUCCUAGAAACAUUGAUUUGGACUAUUCCAAGAAAGUAAAAUUUCAAGUUUCCAUAAUGUUAAUAGAAUGUUAUUUUAAGGUUAGCAAAAUGUUCCUGCAAUGUUCUUUCAACUUAAUUUUUAUCAGCAACUCGACACUCUGUGACAAAUAAAUGCCUCUUUACUCUCUUGAACACUCAAAUGUGAUUAGUAACAUUCCAAGAACGUAAAAUGUUUCCAUUUUGUUAAUCAAACGUUUUUUAAAGAUUGCAUUGUUACUGAAAUGUUCUUUCAACUGAAUUUUCAUGAACGAAUCAACUCUAUGAACUUCUAUCUGUUACAUUCCAAACACUUAAAGGGUUAGUUCACCCAAAAAUGAAAAUUCUGUCAUUAAUUACUCACCCUCAUGCCGUUCUACACCCGUAAGACCUUCGUUAAUCUUCGGAACACAAAUUAAGAUGUUUUUGUUGAAAUGCGAUGGCUCAGUGAGGCCUCCAUAGCUACCAAUGACAUUUCCUCUCUCAAGAUCCAUUAAUGUACUAAAAACAUAGUUAAAUCAGUUCAUGUGAGUAAAGUGGUUCAAUAUUAAUAUUAUAAAGCAACGAGAAUAUUUUUGGCGCGCCAAAAAAAACAAAAUAACGACUUAUAUAGUGAUGGUCGAUUUCAAAACUGCUUCAGGAAGCUUCGGAGCAUAAUGAAUCAGCGUAUCGAAUCAGCAGUUCGGAGCGCCAAAGUCACGUGAUUUCAGCAGUUUGGCGGUUUGACACGCGAUCCGAAUAAUGAUUCGAUACGCUGAUUCAUAACGCUCCGAAGCUUCCUGAAGCAGUGUUUUGAAAUUGGUCCAUUUUUUUAAACAGGCCUAUACAUCUCACCCACUCGAAAGACAUUUGACAAUAAACAUGAGUGCUCUACAAGGUGUUGUUUAACUGGUUUCACUAUAAACCAUUUUAGUUAUUUUUACACCGUAUUAAAGGGAUAGUUCACCCAAAAAUGCUAAUUCUGUCAUCAUUUACUCUCCCUCCAGUUGUUAUGUGAACUAUCCUCACACUAGUCACUGCGAAUAUUCUGGGAUUUAAAUUGUCUGUUGUUAUGAAAAUGACACCGAUUAACAACAUAGUCAUGAAAAGUGAACUAAAAAUUUACAAACUUGAUAGUUAAGGCCAUUAAGGAAGCCUAUAGACUAUGUGGGCCUUUCAUAGCCUAGGCCUACUGUGUAUGAGGUGUGGCUAAUCCUUUAGCAUGAAUAAUUCACAAUCACUCAGUCGUUCACUCAGCGUUGUCCUCUUAUGGAAUUAAUGUAACUGCUCUCUGCGUGUUAAGUUUGCGUUGCGAAACGUCAAAGCAAAUGCCAGUUUAAGAUAGGGUGUGUCGGAAAUGUGUGAGCCGAUGAAUGACGCCACAUGCUGGGGGGCAUUUCCAGAACUGUGCCGCGCUGGGUGUGUCGGAAUGUGCAAAGGUGCCUUGUACUUUUCAUUACAGCUUCAUGAGACGCUAAUUAAAUAUUUGGACACCUUAUUCCUUACUUCGUUAUAAAAUUAGUAUAUUUGUCUGCCAAAUAUAUGUUUAUGUUUAAUUUGUAUGUGCUGAAUAACUAAAUAACUGUAUAGACUUAAGUAGCUAAAAUAACGACAUUACAGUUUGCUCUGGUAUUCUGAAUUCUUUCUUUUCCCACAGCACGAGUCUUCUAAUUACAUAUACAGUGAAAGCGCAGGGGGGACCUGCAAUAGCAUCCCCUCAGAUAGUUCUGUGUUACAAGACAUUGAUAUUAUUUCAAAUGGAUUGGUUUUCAUUUACCCAUCAUAGUAAGCAUACAAUUACUGAACCCAGCCCACCAGCUGACGUUCAAAAAACAGGAAGAAAUGUGAUCUUUUCCUGAAGCAGCCUGUGUAUCAAAGGAUCAGCGAAACCAAUGCAGUGUCUUAUUAAUUCCACAAGGAGGCGCGUGUGUUUGACUAGGGAGGAACUAGCAUGUGUCAUGACGUUGCCUGAAGCAUUUAUGGGAUAAGCAGCACAUUAAAAAUUAUUCUGAACUUUGUACUGGGUGUAUGAGCCCAAAUCAUAAAUUUGUGGAGUAAAAUAUUAAAUGUUUUGAUGAAUUUUGUCCCUUAUGAAAGUAAACAAUGAGAGAAACGUUUUUCUUAAAUCAAUAAUCCAGGAUAAAUAAAAUGAAUGUUUUAUUGAUUUGCCAUGUGUCAUUAAUGGAAGAUAUCAGACAUUAAAUUCAUCAUCCUCGAUCAGGAGUGUUUAUUAUUAGGAGAGUUCUCAUUGAUAAAGAGUGAUGCCCUACAGGAGGCGUGUGUCAUCAUGCUGUAUAUGGACUGGCCACUCCCGGUUUAUCCAAUAGUCCACAGAGAGAUAAUCUGCUGCUUGGAUGAGAUUAAGUCUGAUGUAAAUUCACCUCAUGACACACGGACAUCAAUUUCAAACCCUCUGACGCUUACAGCCUAUUUUUAGAUUUCUUCUCCGAAUCUUAUAUUUUAAAAUGAUGACUGGAUGAUGAAAUUAUGAAUUUUGCGUUGUUAUCCGAGGCUUAAUACAAAAUACAAAUUCUUUGCUUUGCAAACACUGCAUUUAAUGCAGCAAUAUAAUGGUUAAAAAUGAGCAAUGACUUUAAAUAAAACAAUAAAAGGAUUUUCUUGGCCUAACUGCAUUCUAAUGGCCAUUUUAAUUGCUUUUCUGAUGGCAGUGCCCCAGGGAAAUAUUCCAGAAAGAUAUUUUUGAUUUCACAUACACACACAAAGUGAAAUAACGUGUAAAAUCUAUUAACACUAAUAUUUAGUGCAAUAAAGUUGUUACAUUUAAAUAUUCAUUGUUCUUUACUUUUUACAUUUUAUUCUGACAACAGAACAGCAAAAUGUUUGGACAAAUUUAAAUAUAUAAUUUCUUACCUUUAAUGUAGGUUAGUUUUACCCCUCCCCCUUAAUGUUAAUUUUCUAAAUGCUUUUAGGUAUAUUUUAAGCAAAAAAAAAAAAAACUUUUUAAAACAUUGAUUUCAUUAUGCGUGCUGAGGAACGCAUGAAUUGAGGGAGAUUAAGUGUAGCGUGGAUUACAUUACAGCUCCAGCAGUACGGUUUGUGGUCACGUGACGCUUGACUCGCGCUGUCUGUCAGGACUCCUUCCAUAAACGGAAGAGUGGCCCUGAGCAGAGCCUUUAGUGGGCAACAAGUCAUUCAUACUUUAUGACUGAAAUAAUGUGCUUUAAAUAAUACACUAAAAGCUAUACAAAAAAAAGUGUUAUUUGCAAAAGAAAGUUAAUACUUGGUCAUAUAAGGUAGUCACAUUUAGUUUUGUUUACUACACAUACUGAUGCUUUUUGUUGAAAAGGUUUGUUCUAUGGGCCUAAAAUCCCCCUAUGAGCAGCAGCUGUUUUGUGCAUGUGUUGAUCUGAACUCCACCCCUUCCACCCCUUCCCCCCCCAUUCUUUUUCCUCAAGUGUCCCAUUCGAGUCUAGACUUAUUCUCAGCACAUUUUACUAACAAGCAAGUUAUGACUAUGCUUUGAUUUGAAACACCUAGAGAUGACUAAAAAAACAAGUCUGACAAUGCUGCUGCAGUGCUGAUAUACAGAUAUAUAUAAACUAAUUAGUAUCACAAAAGAAUAAUCCACUGUUGAAUAUUAAAAAUGCUGGCAUGUGAUUCAGGAAAAAUGAACUAAAGUGGUUGUUUCUGUGGUUUGUCAAAAAGCACAUUAACCAAUUUCCACACCUGCCAUUUGAAGCCAUUUUAAUAUUUACAGAUAUAAAUCCUGGAAAUUGAAAACACCACGAGCACCUAGAACUACCCCUCACCCCCACAAGAACUGCUUUCCUGGAAUACAGCAAUACCUUGAGAUCAUUUCCAAAAUGAUGUCCGUUUCAACACUUGAGACAAAAUCAUUCAAAGCUUUACAUUUUUUUUUUUUUUUGAGAACCAAGCAUUUUGCUUUCUCAAUUUUAAACCAUUUCAUUUUAAUUUUCACUUUCAGAAAAAAAAAAAAAAAAAAAAGAAAGAAA